GUUUCAAAUUCUGAUCAUUGUAGAACUUGAUAGGAAGGAAUUUGAUUCAAUAGCUGUAAUCUUGCAUGUUUCUAAAUUCUAAGUGGUCGGUUCAGUCCCCUAUUGCAGCUCUUUUCCAUUUCUUGAAGAUAAGUAUUGUUCAUAAGUAUAGCAAUGGUCGUACUAAUCAGGUGAGUUGCAGAAGGAUCUAAAUGUGGGUGUAGAUGGUGAACUAGUGAACUAGUGAAGUCAAAGUUUAUCAAGUGAUUGCCCUAAUAUUGAAUAUUGAAUGGCAGGGUCAACAAGAUUUCACGUUCAGAAAUCAGAGGAGGAAUGGAGGGCCAUUCUCUGUCUGUCUCUGUCUGUCUCCCUCAUGAAUUCACAGACAGUAGAGAGAGGGCAAGGAACAGAGGAAUAGCCAAAGCACCAGGGAGCAAAAACAGGAGCGUUCUUCAAGUUUUUGGCUCUUCAUCAACCAUAGCACCAAGAGAAAGAGAAUGAUGGCCAACGAAGGAGCUGACUAAAGCUUAAGAGGGAGCUGCGUUCCACUCACCCAACUGUUCUUCGAGUUUCUUUGCUAGUUUAUUCAAUUUCUGUUAACACAACUACCACCACAAGCAAAGAGAGGUUUGGGCUCAAGAGAAAAACAGGGACAAGUCUUGUGUAUUUGAUCAACAAAGAGGUAAGGGUUAGAAUAGUUAGAUAUUGAUUUUAGUUGUAUUUGGUGAUUAAAUGGCAGAAACCUUUCCAUUUAGUAUGCUUAUUGACCAG